AAAAAAGAAAAAACGAGAAAAGGAAAAAGAGCUGCAUACCUGGCAGGCCUAUUGUGUGCAAAGCCCUUGAGUGACACACCCUAUGACCCACAGCACUGUGGCGAUCCCAGGGCCGCACCAGCUCUCUCUCCUUCCCCUCCUCAGGGCCACACCAACUGUGGGGUUCCAGCUAUCACUCUGUGCAAAGGACUCCUAACAUGGGUGUCCUCCGUCUCACCCCAUAAGCCACACUGGCCAAGGCCAGGCAGGCACCACACAACGCGAGACACAUGCUUGGUCACUGGGCUGUGGAACAUACAGAAGCCCCUUGCUCCGGAACACGGACCACCCGACAGGAGCACGGACACAGCAGUCGGGGCAACGUGGGUGCCUCACAGAAGAGGGAAAAAGCCAGGAGGGCGGCACGAGGGCGCAAAGUUCUCAGCUUCGUUAGUCAUCAAGAAAAUGCAAACUAAAACCAAGGUAAGUGUGAGGGUUACUACUGAGUUUCAACUUGACUGGACUAAAGGAUGUGUAACUGUUCCUGGGAGCAUCUUGAGGAAGCUGCCAAAGGAGAUUCACUUUGACUCAGUGGACGGGGAGAGGCCGACGCACCCUCCAUCUGCGGGGGCAUGAUCUCAUCAGCUGCCAGCACGGCAGAGGAACGCGGAAGCACUGGACUGGCUGAGUCUUCCAGCCUCCAUCUUUCUUCCAUGCUGGAUACUUCCUGCCCUCGAACAUCAGACUCCAAGUGCUUCAGCUUUUGGGUUCUUGGACCUACACCAGUGGUUUGCCAGGGGCUCUUGGGCCUUCGGCCACAGACUGAAAGCUGCGCUGUUGGCUUCCCGACUUUAGAGGUUUGGGGACUCGGACUGGCUUCCUGGCUCCUCAGCUUGCCAACAGCCUAUUGUGGGACUUCACCUCAUGAUUGUGUGAGUCAAUACUCCCAAUAAACUCCCCUCCAUAUAUACAUUUA
rnacentral:antisense_RNA from 1 species